rnacentral:rRNA from 1 species
AGGACGAACGGCUGGCGGCGUGCCUAACACAUGCAAGUCGAGCGGGGUGGGUUCUGAAGGGCAACCGGAGGGAUCACCUAGCGGCGAACGGGUGAGUAACGCGUGGAUAACCUACCUCAAGGUCUGGGAUAACAGCUCGAAAGGGCUGCUAAUACCGGAUGUGGUGCAUAUGCUGCAUGGUAGAUGCACUAAAGGGGAAACCCGCCAUGAGAUGGGUCCGCGUCCCAUCAGCUAGUUGGUGGGGUAAAGGCCUACCAAGGCGACGACGGGUAGCCGGCCUGAGAGGGUGACCGGCCACACUGGGACUGAGACACGGCCCAGACUCCUACGGGGGGCAGCAGUGGGGAAUAUUGCACAAUGGGCGAAAGCCUGAUGCAGCGACGCCGCGUGGGCGAAGAAGGCCUUCGGGUUGUAAAGCCCUGUCUGGAGGGACGAAGUAAUGACGGUACCUCCGGAGGAAGCCACGGCUAACUACGUG